CCUACGGGUGGCAGCAGUGGGGAAUAUUGGACAAUGGGCGAAAGCCUGAUCCAGCCAUGCCGCGUGUGUGAAGAAGGCCUUCGGGUUGUAAAGCACUUUCAGUGGGGAAGAAAGCCUUGGGGCUAAUACCCUCGAGGAAGGACAUCACCCACAGAAGAAGCACCGGCUAACUCCGUGCCACCAGCCGCGGUAAUACGGAGGGUGCGAGCGUUAAUCGGAAUUACUGGGCGUAAAGCGCGCGUAGGCGGUCUGAUAAGCCGGUUGUGAAAGCCCCGGGCUCAACCUGGGAACGGCAUCCGGAACUGUCAGGCUAGAGUGCAGGAGAGGAAGGUAGAAUUCCCGGUGGAGCGGUGAAAUGCGUAGAGAUCGGGAGGAAUACCAGUGGCGAAGGCGGCCUUCUGGACUGACACUGACGCUGAGGUGCGAAAGCGUGGGUAGCAAACAGGAUUAGAUACCCGGGUAGUC
rnacentral:rRNA from 1 species